rnacentral:rRNA from 1 species
UGACCUCGGAUCAGGUAGGAAUACCCGCUGAACUUAAGCAUAUCAAUAAGCCGGAAG